rnacentral:rRNA from 1 species
UCAAGCGAACAAGUGCAUGUGGUGGAUGCCUUGGCGAUCACAGGCGAUGAAGGACGCGGUAGCCUGCGAAAAGCGGUGGGGAGCUGGCAAACGAGCUUUGAUCCACCGAUAUCCGAAUGGGGAAACCCGGCCCGUAUGGGUCAUCCGUAGCUGAAUACAUAGGCUGCGUGAAGCGAACGCGGUGAACUGAAACAUCUAAGUAACCGCAGGAAAAGAAAUCAACCGAGAUUCCCAGAGUAGUGGCGAGCGAAAUGGGAUCAGCCUGUACUCUUUAUCUUCAUUGUUAGUCGAAGGCUCUGGAAAGUGCCGCCAUAGCAGGUGAUAGCCCUGUAGACGAAAACAGCGAGGAAGAACUAGGUGUACGAGAAGUAGGGCGGGACACGUGAAAUCCUGUCUGAAGAUGGGGGGACCAUCCUCCAAGGCUAAAUACUCGUGAUCGACCGAUAGUGAACCAGUACCGUGAGGGAAAGGCGAAAAGAACCCCGGGAGGGGAGUGAAAUAGAUCCUGAAACCGCAUGCAUACAAACAGUCGGAGCCUUCGCAAGGGGGUGACGGCGUACCUUUUGUAUAAUGGGUCAGCGACUUACAUUCAGUGGCAAGCUUAACCGAUUAGGGCAGGCGUAGCGAAAGCGAGUCCGAACAGGGCGUUCAGUCGCUGGGUGUAGACCCGAAACCAGGUGAUCUAUCCAUGGCCAGGAUGAAGGUGCGGUAACACGUACUGGAGGUCCGAACCCACUAACGUUGAAAAGUUAGGGGAUGAGCUGUGGAUAGGGGUGAAAGGCUAAACAAACCUGGAAAUAGCUGGUUCUCUCCGAAAACUAUUUAGGUAGUGCCUCGUGUAUCACCUUCGGGGGUAGAGCACUGUCAUGGUUGUGGGGUCCAUUGCGGAUUACUACGCCAUAGCAAACUCCGAAUACCGAAGAGUGCAAUCACGGGAGACAGACAUCGGGUGCUAACGUCCGGUGUCAAGAGGGAAACAACCCAGACCGCCAGCUAAGGUCCCCAAAUAUUGCUAAGUGGGAAACGAAGUGGGAAGGCUAAAACAGUCAGGAGGUUGGCUUAGAAGCAGCCAUCCUUUAAAGAAAGCGUAAUAGCUCACUGAUCGAGUCGUCCUGCGCGGAAGAUGUAACGGGGCUAAGCAAUAUACCGAAGCUGCGGAUGCACAUUUAUGUGCAUGGUAGGAGAGCGUUCCGUAAGCCUGCGAAGGUGCAUUGAAAAGUGCGCUGGAGGUAUCGGAAGUGCGAAUGCUGACAUGAGUAGCGAUAAAGGGGGUGAAAGGCCCCCUCGCCGUAAGCCCAAGGUUUCCUACGCAACGUUCAUCGGCGUAGGGUGAGUCGGCCCCUAAGGCGAGGCAGAAAUGCGUAGCUGAUGGGAAGCAGGUUAAUAUUCCUGCACCAUUGUUAAAUGCGAUGGGGGGACGGAUCGCGGAAGGUUGUCCGGGUGUUGGAAGUCCCGGUCCUUGCAUUGGAGAAGGCGCUUAGGCAAAUCCGGGCGCGUAAUUCAAGGGUGCGAGGCCAUUCACUUCGGUGAAGAAGCAACUGGAAGUGGUUCCAAGAAAAGCCUCUAAGCUUCAGUUUAACAAGACCGUACCGCAAACCGACACAGGUGGGCGAGAUGAGUAUUCUAAGGCGCUUGAGAGAACUCGGGAGAAGGAACUCGGCAAAUUGGUACCGUAACUUCGGGAUAAGGUACGCCCCUGUAGCUUGACUGGCCUGCGCCAGAAGGGUGAAGGGGUUGCAAUAAACUGGUGGCUGCGACUGUUUAAUAAAAACACAGCACUCUGCAAACACGAAAGUGGACGUAUAGGGUGUGACGCCUGCCCGGUGCCGGAAGAUUAAAUGAUGGGGUGCAAGCUCUUGAUUGAAGUCCCGGUAAACGGCGGCCGUAACUAUAACGGUCCUAAGGUAGCGAAAUUCCUUGUCGGGUAAGUUCCGACCUGCACGAAUGGCGUAACGAUGGCCACACUGUCUCCUCCCGAGACUCAGCGAAGUUGAAGUGUUUGUGAUGAUGCAAUCUCCCCGCGGCUAGACGGAAAGACCCCAUGAACCUUUACUGUAGCUUUGCAUUGGACUUUGAACCGGUCUGUGUAGGAUAGGUGGGAGGCUUUGAAGCGUGAACGCCAGUUUGCGUGGAGCCGUCCUUGAAAUACCACCCUGGUUUGUUUGAGGUUCUAACCUUGGCCCGUGAUCCGGGUCGGGGACAGUGCAUGGUAGGCAGUUUGACUGGGGCGGUCUCCUCCCAAAGUGUAACGGAGGAGUACGAAGGUACGCUAGGUACGGUCGGAAAUCGUGCUGAUAGUGCAAUGGCAUAAGCGUGCUUAACUGCGAGACCGACAAGUCGAGCAGGUGCGAAAGCAGGUCAUAGUGAUCCGGUGGUUCUGUAUGGAAGGGCCAUCGCUCAACGGAUAAAAGGUACUCUGGGGAUAACAGGCUGAUACCGCCCAAGAGUUCAUAUCGACGGCGGUGUUUGGCACCUCGAUGUCGGCUCAUCUCAUCCUGGGGCUGUAGCCGGUCCCAAGGGUAUGGCUGUUCGCCAUUUAAAGAGGUACGUGAGCUGGGUUUAAAACGUCGUGAGACAGUUUGGUCCCUAUCUGCCGUGGGCGUUGGAUAUUUGAAGGGGGCUGCUCCUAGUACGAGAGGACCGGAGUGGACGAACCUCUGGUGUACCGGUUGUCACGCCAGUGGCAUCGCCGGGUAGCUAUGUUCGGAAGAGAUAACCGCUGAAAGCAUCUAAGCGGGAAACUUGCCUUAAGAUGAGAUAUCCCCGGGGCUUCGAGCCCCUUGAAGGGUCGUUCAAGACCAGGACGUUGAUAGGUCAGGUGUGGAAGCGCAGUAAUGCGUUAAGCUAACUGAUACUAAUUGCCCGUAAGGCUUGAUCC